UACGGAGGGUGCAAGCGUUAUCCGGAUUUACUGGGUUUAAAGGGUGCGUAGGUGGGCGAGUAAGUCAGUGGUGAAAUCUCCGGGCUUAACCCGGAAACUGCCAUUGAUACUAUUUGUCUUGAAUACUUUGGAGGUAAGCGGAAUAUGUCAUGUAGCGGUGAAAUGCUUAGAUAUGAACAUAGAACACCAAAUUGCGAAGGCAGCUUGCUACAGGGAUAUUGACACU
rnacentral:rRNA from 1 species